AAUAUUGGACAAUGGGGGCAACCCUGAUCCAGCCAUGCCGCGUGUGUGAAGAAGGUCUUCGGUUUUUAAAGCACUUUAAGUUUGGAGGAAGCGCUUUAGGCUAAUACCCUGAUGUUCUGACGUUACCAACAGAAUAAGAACGGGCUAACUCUGGUCCAGCAGCCGCGGUAAUACAGAGUGUGCAAGCGUUAAUCGGAAUUACUGGGCGUAAAGCGCGCGUAGGUGGUUCAGUAAGAUGGGUGUGAAAUCCCCGGGCUUAACCUGGGAAGUGCUUUCAUAACUGCUGAGCUAGAGUACGGUAGAGGGUAGUGGAAUUUCCUGUGUAGCGGUGAAAUGCGUAGAUAUAGGAAGGAACACCAGUGGCGAAGGCGACUACCUGGACUGAUACUGACACUGAGGUGCGAAAGCGUGGGGAGCAAAC
rnacentral:rRNA from 1 species